CCGCCGAAGGUCACGAUAGCCAUCCACCUACAAAUCCCUAUAUCCUUCCUUUUCUUCAUUCUUCUAGAGAGACAAAGAGGAGGGAGAAAAAAGACAGCAGGCCGGCCUGCCCCACCCGCGACCGGCGGCCGCCGCAAGUCCAUGAGUGCCUCAAUCACCCCCGUCUCCAAAGCCCUUCCUAGAUAAAGGGAUUGCCUUAGUCUACGGCACGGCAACAACGGCAUAACGACAUCGGCAGCAACGCACGAGGAGCGACGCCUCCAGUCACAAGCGGACCUAGCUUGCACUAAUUUCUCCACGCCCGAUGUCAAUGCUUAUUGACUUGCAAGUCCACGCAUCUCUCUCUCUCGCAUAUGCUGGCCAUCUACCGUCGCUCCCUGCCUACUACCAUCAUCGCUUCGGUGAAGAACAUGAGAAUAAGAAGGAGACCUCCUCCCUUUUUCUCUGCCAUUCUCUUGCACGCACGCACACCUUUUCUCUUCCUCUCGAUUAGCAUGCUCCUCUCUCAUCCACUUUUCUCAUUUGAUUUAACCCUUAGAAUUUCUAAUUUUGUUUGUGCAGAUUAUUUUCUGUAUAUGCCUACAAGGUGCUCGACGCUUUGUGUACUCAACAUUUUUUCCUUUUCUUCUGAAAUUUAGCUGCAUCCAAUGAGAACCCUGUUCGAAAUCUAAUCAACCAUGGGCCCGUAGUUGUAAACCCUGGGCUUCCUUCUUGACCUCGCUCUGGUUCAACAGAGAGGAUGGGCCUGAGCGGGUCUACCGUGUCCAGCGUAGGAUACGAAUGUUGGUCUGCGGUAGAGGGUGGUGGCGUGGUGCCUGUCAAGUGUCAACAGGACACGGUAGUGGCACGGGUUCUGUACCGUGGUGUUAUUUUCUACCGAAGAACCGACUGUUGGGAGUGGCCACAUCUGGUACCAACACAACCUCUCUCUGUUCACGCCAUAAUCAAAUUGGAGAUGGCAGUAUGCAUGAUGUGAUUAAAGAGUUGAGGCCCUAAGUUUCGAAAGUAUCAGUAAAAUAAACUCAUCCGCUAAAAAGUUCAGGCUCUAAUUUCAUCCAUUAUGGAUCGGUUUCACCAUAAGGAACCCCAGCUAAGUAUUCAUGUUAUAUUCAUUUUCAGAUUUUUAUUAUUUCAUACAUACAAUCAGUACAAAGUUAGAAACAUUUGAGUAUGAAUUUCUGACCGUGAAUGUUUAUUGACUUGCUAUCACUUUCUAACUUAGAUACCUGGUUAAAGUUUACACUUUGCGGGAUAGAAAAAAGAGAGGGGAGGGGGGCUGGAUCUCUCAACUCCCUGGCGGUAGCUCGGUGACUGUUCGCACAUGCCCUUUCACAUGUUUUUCCAUCGGGAAUCACCCCUUUACAUAUGACUACAACAACACGAAGGUAUGAUGCUCUCGCACCUCAGCUUGGACGCUCGAGCGAUGCCAUCGACUUAUGUCGUUGUAGUCGAAUAGCCUAUUUUUGUCUAGAUGCAAAAUGUGUAUAUCAUAUAUAUUAGAGGUGAAAAGGGGCUCUACCUGCAUGCUUGAUAAAGACAUGGUAAAAUCUAAAAGUUUCAUCCUUUUUACUCCUGCAUCAUAGCCUUGAUUCAGAAUUCACCACACCAUGUUACAGGAGUAAGAAAGUUCAAAGGGGAUUGCUUA